rnacentral:rRNA from 1 species
UUCCGGUUGAUCCCGCCGGACCCCACUGCUAUCGAGAUGGGACUAAGGUAUGCUAGUCGAACGACCAGAACUAUGUCUGGAAGUGGCACACUGCUCAGUAACACGUAGCUAACCUACCCUUAGGACGUGGAUACCCCCGAGAAAUUGGGGUUAAUCCGCGAUAGGUGUAAUGUCCUGGAAUGGUAUUACGCCUAAAGGUGUAUCAUACAUGUUUGAUAUACGCCUAAGGAUGGGGCUGCGGCCGAUCAGGCUGUUGGUGAGGUAAUGGCUCACCAAACCUUUGACCGGUACGGGCCAUGAGAGUGGUAGCCCGGAGAUGGACACUGAGACAAGGGUCCAGGCCCUAAGGGGCGCAGCAACCGCGAAACCUCCACAAUGCACUCACGUGCGAUGGGGCUAUCUCGAGUGCCACCUGAUGAAGGUGGCUUUUCCUAGGUCUUCAAAGCCUUGGGAAUAAGAGGGGGGCAAGACUGGUGUCAGCCGCCGCGGUAACACCAGCCCCUCGAGUGGUGGGGAUGAUUAUUUGGCCUAAAGCGUCCGUAGCCGGCCGAGCAAGUCUUCCGUUAAAUCCAGCGUCUCAAGCGUUGGACUGCGGGAGAUACUACACGGCUAGAGAGUGGGAGAGGUCAGCGGUAUUCUGGGGGUAGGGGCGAAAUCCUUUGAUCCCCGGAGGACCACCAGUGGCGAAGGCUGCUGACUAGAACACGUCUGACGGUCAGGGACGAAAGCUGGGGUAGCGAACCGGAUUAGAUACCCGGGUAGUCCCAGCCGUAAACGAUGCAUGCUAGGUGUUGGGUUGACCACGAGCCACCCCAGUGCCGCAGGGAAGCCGUUAAGCAUGCCGCCUGGGAAGUACGAUCGCAAGA